rnacentral:lncRNA from 1 species
GUUGCACAAACAACAAAGGUGAUUGGUGCAUUCAAACUAUUCAACAGGAAGUUUACAAUUAAGUAAGGAAGUGUAUGAAUAUUUCGAGGAACUUGAUGAAAUGAAUUGGUCAGCCCGAGGUAAUGUAUUGAAUCGAUAUUUGAGGAACACUUCAAUUGCAACGACAGUAAUGCGCUUGUAAAUGUCGUAACAACUUGAAUCUAAAGGCAUUUGCCAGAAACGCACAACCCAGAUUCAAAUUGCAAAAUAGCAACGUUUCGUGCGAGUGUAUAUUGCGCAGUUUCGACGCCUCUAAACUGUCUAUCUCCCUAACUAUUUUGCGCACGCGACGGACCAUAUUAUCCGCAUGCAACCGCCCUGAAAAGGAAUAUCCCUGAAGGUAUUGAGCCGCAAUGACCGCCAUAAGAGAGGGGACCUAGUCACUGGUAGCGGACUGUUUUUUCAUGAAGUAAGACCGG